GACUCUGGGCAAUGGAUAUCUCGGCUCUCGCAUCGAUGAAGAACGUAGCGAAAUGCGAUACUUGGUGUGAAUUGCAGAAUCCCGUGAACCAUUGAGUCUUUGAACACAAGUUGCGCCCCAAGCCAUUAGGCCGAGGGCACGUCUGCUUGGGUGUCA
rnacentral:rRNA from 1 species